rnacentral:lncRNA from 1 species
GAAGCAGACACCCACAGCUAAACACUGAACUGAACUGGAAUCCAGUUGCAAAGAAGGAAGAGCUAUGAGCAAAGGGGUCUAGACCAGAUGUACUUUUGGAAAUACUAAUUCAAAUCUGGCUUCCAUCUAUCAAUGCUGCAUGACUUACUGUUCCAGGAAGCUGUGAUAAAAGCUGGUGAUGUAGACAAGGCCUAGUGGACAUGCCUGUAAAAGAAUUGUAAGCAAAAGGAGUCUCAGCAGCAUCCCACACUGCUGCUUUCCAGCACUGCAGAAGAGAAA